GACAGAGGGGGCAAGCGUUGCUCGGAAUCACUGGGCGUAAAGGGCGCGUAGGCGGGCUGGCAAGUCGGUCGUGAAAUCCUUCGGCCCAACCGAAGAACGUCGGCCGAUACUGCCGUUCUUGAGGGAUGCAGAGGAGACUGGAAUUCCCGGUGUAGCGGUGAAAUGUGUAGAGAUCGGGAGGAACACCGGUGGCGAAGGCGGGUCUCUGGGACGGUACUGACGCUGAGACGCGAAAGCGUGGGGAGCGAACAGG
rnacentral:rRNA from 1 species